rnacentral:rRNA from 1 species
CGCUGGCGGCAGGCCUAAUACAUGCAAGUCGAGCGCAUCCUUCGGGAUGAGCGGCGGACGGGUGAGUAACGCGUGGGAAUAUGCCCUUCUCUAAGGAAUAGCCUCUGGAAACGGAGAGUAAUACCUUAUACGCCCUUUGGGGGAAAGAUUUAUCGGAGAAGGAUUAGCCCGCGUUAGAUUAGGUAGUUGGUGGGGUAAUGGCCUACCAAGCCUACGAUCUAUAGCUGGUUUGAGAGGAUGAUCAGCCACACUGGGACUGAGACACGGCCCAGACUCCUACGGGAGGCAGCAGUAGGGAAUCUUAGACAAUGGGGGAAACCCUGAUCUAGCCAUGCCGCGUGUGUGAAGAAGGCCCUAGGGUCGUAAAGCACUUUCGCCAGAGAUGAUAAUGACAGUAUCUGGUAAAGAAACCCCGGCUAACUCCGUGCCAGCAGCCGCGGUAAUACGGAGGGGGUUAGCGUUGUUCGGAAUUACUGGGCGUAAAGCGCACGUAGGCGGAUUAGUAAGUUAGAGGUGAAAUCCCAGGGCUCAACCCUGGAACUGCCUUUAAUACUGCUAGUCUUGAGUUCGAGAGAGGUAAGUGGAAUUCCAAGUGUAGAGGUGAAAUUCGUAGAUAUUUGGAGGAACACCAGUGGCGAAGGCGGCUUACUGGCUCGAUACUGACGCUGAGGUGCGAAAGUGUGGGGAGCAAACAGGAUUAGAUACCCUGGUAGUCCACACCGUAAACGAUGAAUGCCAGACGUCAGCAAGUAUACUUGUUGGUGUCACACCUAACGGAUUAAGCAUUCCGCCUGGGGAGUACGGU